CUUUCUUCCUACAGUAUUUUAUUUUUUUAAGUUUUUUUCUGUCUUACCAAAAAUAUUGAGUGAACAUUAGUACUAGAUACAGAUACUGUCCUAUUGUUUAAAAUUGAAGUUGCAGUUAUUUUAUUUUCUAGCACAACAAUUAGAGAAAGUACUUAUAUUCAUUUUUGGUCAUUUUUUGUUUAUUAAUUUUUAAACCACAAACUUCUGAAUAUAUAGAUCAAGAAUAGCAGGUGAGAAAUGAAUGUACUGCUGUGUUCCCUUUUUCCCCAGGUUGACCCCUGCAUUCUCUCCCAUGGAGCUCAGAAGGGGCUCAGAAUCUUGCUCAAUACAAUAAUCCUCAGUGCCACAAUCCUCAACACAGCAUAUGCCAGGUAAACAUUCAGCAAGAAGCAAAUGCUUCCAGCCACGUGAGUCAUCUGAAAUGAAAACACAAGCAGGCCUUCUGCUGGGACCAGUAGCCGCCUGCUGUUAGCUGGGGAGAAAAGACUUUCAUUCGUUUUUGUCACCGAGCUGAUACUGUGCCAACGCCCACAUCUGGAAACAGUUAUCAAGAAAGAAGAGGCAUGCAAGGCUGGGUCUCAUGACCCUGCAGCCUUCCUUUCUGCUGCUCUAUUUAUUAACGUACUGGUUUAGAGUGAUCGACCUACGUCCCCAGAGUAAGUUAUAGAAACUAAAUUUUAAAAAGACCACUGCCAUCAUACCAAUCUACAAAAACAGGCCAAGGUCUAACUUAUGGGGUCUUGGAUGGAGUUUGUAUCUAAAUAAACACAUUUUAAAGUUGCUUAUUGUGUUGUACUUUAAUCACUGAGCCAAGCCUUUUUAAGCUUUGCUUUAAGCUCUGUGCCCCUCCCCAGCUUGGCAGAACUCUGUCCUGUCUGUCUCAAGGGCUUGAUAGAAUUUGUACUUAUUGGAUCUGGACACACAGAUAGAGGAGUCUGUUAUUUUCACAUCACACAGACCAACACACACAGAUACACACUUGUUGCCCUUCCUUGCCUCCUUCACUAUAAGUAACUAGAAAGUUAAGAAGGAACCUGAACUGUGUUUGUGUAGCACCAGCGCUAUGUGAUGGUACUUGCUGAUCAGGCCCCGAAGGUGUAAGUAGAAUCCACAAGGGCUUAUUGGUUUUGAAGUUUGAAAAGUGCCCACAGAGAAGGCUUGAACCUAUUUUUGAGAAGGACCAAAUCAAGUCAUAAGAUAUUUAGUAGAUCUCUCUACAACAGAGGGAGGAAUAAAAGUGGCCAUUAAGAGUGAAUACAGAGGAAAGCAUUUCCUUCAGGCUUAUAUAUGUCUCAGGAAUUGUAAAGCGCUAACAAGAACCAGAAAUUCAGACCGGCAAUCCUGUCUCUAGUACUAACUCCGUCUCUGGUUUCUGUUUUGAUGAGUUGCAGUCUACCUUGCUGAC
rnacentral:lncRNA from 1 species